rnacentral:rRNA from 1 species
UACGUAGGGUGCAAGCGUUUGUCCGGAAUUAUUGGGCGUAAAGAGCUCGUAGGCGGUUUGUCGCGUCUGCUGUGAAAACCCGAGGCUCAACCUCGGGCCUGCAGUGGGUACGGGCAGACUAGAGUGCGGUAGGGGAGAUUGGAAUUCCUGGUGUAGCGGUGGAAUGCGCAGAUAUCAGGAGGAACACCAGUGGCGAAGGCAGAUCUCUGGGCCGUAACUGACGCUGAGGAGCGAAAGCAUGGGGAGCGAACAGG